rnacentral:rRNA from 1 species
GACAGAGGGUGCGAACGUUGUUCGGAAUUACUGGGCGUAAAGCGCGUGUAGGCGGCAAGGCAAGUCGGAUGUGAAAGCCCAUGGCUCAACCGUGGAAGUGCACCCGAAACUGCCUCGCUAGAGUCUCGGAGAGGAAGGUGGAAUGCUUGGUGUAGAGGUGAAAUUCGUAGAUAUCAAGCGGAACGCCGGUGGCGAAGGCGGCCUUCUGGACGAUGACUGACGCUGAGACGCGAAAGCGUGGGGAGCAAACAGG